rnacentral:lncRNA from 1 species
GAAGCAAAAAUGAUAAAGCAGAAUGUUCAAGGCACUAAGAGUCAGAUCUCCCAGCUCUUCUCCAAUUUUGCCUGUGACUAGUCAUCUGUCUUUGGGGCAUCUAACAUUCAUUAUCAAAGGAAAGUUGUGAUGGACUGUCAUUUCCCCAGAGAUCAUUUUUCUGGUUGAGGAUGAGGCAUGAAGUACCAGUGAAGAACUGUCGAAUUCUCCUUUGUGAGAUAUGUCUUGGGUAUUUUAGAUGUGAAGCAUUCCCACGUCUACUUGAGAAGCAACUUCCCAAUUACUAAUAAAACUUGCAGGGAUAUUGAUUGGGAUUUUGAGGAAUUUAUGUAUCUUCUUUACAAUAUUGAAUUCUUCAAUUCAUAAUCAUGUUACAAACUUCCAUUUACUGAAGACAUCUUCACAUUUUCUCAAUAGUGACAGAGCUUCCAGUG